AGUACUUCCUAGUGUUUAUGUGGUGAUAGGGACUAUCUGGAGGCUCAGCAGAAGAGGAUUUUGUGGCUACCUCAGGUAAGAGUUCCCCUGAAACUUGUGCUUCUUGGUACUAAUCAGACUGGUUUGUUUUCUCUCAGCUCUACUAGCCCUAAAGACUGGACUUAGUUAGACCUCAUCUCUGGGACUGUGAGAGGGGUAAAUAAUGUUCUUAAAGAGCAUUAAAAAGUCCAGAAAUAAUGGACCUAACAAUCUAAAAUAGAAAGGAUGAGCCUGAGCAAUAGGCUGCCAUUCCUUCUGGAGGAGUCAGGAUUGUAUGGAAGUGUGCAGUUUGUUGUAUGUCUGAGAAAACAAGACUGACUUGAUGCCAUUUAACAGUACUUGUUCUCCCCUAUAAGGUAUUUGGCUCCGGGAAGAGACGUGGAAGAAAUGUCUGACAGAUGUGCACCACAGAGAGUACUUUGCUGCUUGGAGAAAUUGCUGUCUAACUGAUCCUUUGUGGACUUCCGACCAAAACCAGGCAGUGCAACAUAUGGUCUCAGCUGCAUCCUUGAGGCUAACCUGGCAUCGGUUCUUACAUGGAGUCCUUGUGAACUUCAAUCCUCUGAAGC
rnacentral:lncRNA from 14 species